GAUGAACGCUAGCUACAGGUCUAACACAUGCAAGUCGAGGGGCAUCAGGAAGAAAGCUUGCUUUCUUUGCUGGCGACCGGCGCACGGGUGAGUAACACGUAUCCAACCUGCCCUUUACUCGGGGAUAGCCUUUCGAAAGAAAGAUUAAUACCCGAUGGCAUAAUGAUUCCGCAUGGUUUCAUUAUUAAAGGAUUCCGGUAAAGGAUGGGGAUGCGUUCCAUUAGGUUGUUGGUGAGGUAACGGCUCACCAAGCCUUCGAUGGAUAGGGGUUCUGAGAGGAAGGUCCCCCACAUUGGAACUGAGACACGGUCCAAACUCCUACGGGAGGCAGCAGUGAGGAAUAUUGGUCAAUGGGCGCUAGCCUGAACCAGCCAAGUAGCGUGAAGGAUGAAGGCUCUAUGGGUCGUAAACUUCUUUUAUAUAAGAAUAAAGUGCAGUAUGUAUACUGUUUUGUAUGUAUUAUAUGAAUAAGGAUCGGCUAACUCCGUGCCAGCAGCCGCGGUAAUACGGAGGAUCCGAGCGUUAUCCGGAUUUAUUGGGUUUAAAGGGAGCGUAGGUGGACUGGUAAGUCAGUUGUGAAAGUUUGCGGCUCAACCGUAAAAUUGCAGUUGAUACUGUCAGUCUUGAGUACAGUAGAGGUGGGCGGAAUUCGUGGUGUAGCGGUGAAAUGCUUAGAUAUCACGAAGAACUCCGAUUGCGAAGGCAGCUCACUGGACUGCAACUGACACUGAUGCUCGAAAGUGUGNGUAUCAAACAGG
rnacentral:rRNA from 1 species